CGAGAAAACGUUUGGCAAUGUGCGAAAGCACGACAAGGUUAAUCCGAGUGGUUUCUGCUAAAGGAACCUUUUGCCAGUCCUAGAAACACUGGUGAAUAAGGGGUGGGCAAGUUCUGGUGUCAGCCGCCGCGGUAAAACCAGCACCUCAAGUGGUCAGGAUGAUUAUUGGGCCUAAAGCAUCCGUAGCCUGCUUUGUUAGUUUUCGGUUAAAUCCACUCGCUCAACGAAUGGGCUGCCGGGAAUACUGCAAAGCUAGGGAGUGGGAGAGGUAGACGGGUACUCGGUAGGAAGGGUAAAGUACCUUUGUAUCUAUUG
rnacentral:rRNA from 2 species